CCGCCCCUACGGGGCGCAGCAGUGGGGGAUAUUGCACAAUGGGGGAAACCCUGAUGCAGCGACGCCGCGUGAGUGAAGAAGCAUUUCGGUGUGUAAAGCUCUAUCAGCAGGGAAGAAGAAAUGACGGUACCUGACUAAGAAGCCCCGGCUAACUACGUGCCAGCAGCCGCGGUAAUACGUAGGGGGCAAGCGUUAUCCGGAAUCACUGGGUGUAAAGGGAGCGUAGACGGCUGAGCAAGCCUGAAGUGAAAGGCGGGGGCCCAACCCCUGGACUGCUUUGGGAACUGUACGGCUGGAGUGCAGGG
rnacentral:rRNA from 1 species